CCCGUGUACGGCAGGAUACAGACCGCUGGCCUAGCCUCCCCAACCAGAGUUCGUCUAAGCGGAGCAUCCGCGCGCUUGAGUGCUGCCAAGUCGAGCUGCAGAUUAUAAAGCAAUGUGACACAGAGGAUAAAGCCUUCUGGAUAAAGCACAGACUCCACAGCCUUCUGCUUGGGUUGGAAUCCUACCUCCCUCUCAUGAGCUCUGUGACCUGGACAAGUUACUUCAUUUCAGUGUGCCUCAGUUUCCUCAUUUAUAUAGCAAAAUGGAGAUAAUAGUGUCUAUCUCAUAGAAUUAAAAGAAAUAAUAUGUAAAGAACUUGGGACAAUACCUACUGUACAUUAACAUCAACUAAAUAUUAGCUGCCAUAACUGUUAUUAGAAGCUAUUUUAGUGUAAGGAUUAUGUUUCAUAUUUCUUUAUAUCUACCACAACACUUAGAAAAAUUUUCCUAGGGACUGAUGAGUAAAGAUUUAUAUAUUUGUU